CCGAUCUGGAUCCGACGGCUCCCGCGGGUGUGCGCUCGGGAAAACACGCCCGCCCUCACCGUCUGCAUUCCUGCUGCCGUCUUACCUUCUCGUCCCUGUUACGUCGUUCCUGUUCCACUCGACCGAAAAUUCCCGAUCGGGCAACCAGAUGGAAGCCGACGCCGCCUCCUCGCUCAACCCCCGGGCGCCAGAGGAAGCCUCACAAGAGGAUCCCUCGCCAGCGCGCUUCUCCUCCACCGGCGCGGCUGCCCCCUCGACCACGGUGACGUCUCCCGGGGCAAGGGAGGUGGCGGCGGCGAUGGAGGCAGUGGAGCGAGACGCCGCCGCCAUCGCCGAGAGCUACGCCUCCCUAUUCGCCUCCCUCCGCAUCACACUGUCCAACGUUACCUCGACGUCAGCCGAUAACAUGGAGUGCUUGGGCGAAGUUGUAGGCCGCCUCCAGGAGUCAGCACUUGAAGCGUCUUCCAGAGGCAAUAAGUACAUCCAUUCAUGCCUGAGGUUAAAUGAGGAAAUGCGAGGCUUGGAAAGCCUAAGUAUGCAGCUAAAGAUUAUGCGGAAGAUCGUUGAUUCACUAGAUUUGGCUGUUGAUCGGCUGCUCCACCUCCCGUAGUUCAUGCAUCUAUCAAUAGCUUCUACAAGGAACUUCUGAUGAAAUUUAUAUUCACCAAGUAGCUGUCACAUUUGAAGAGGCAACCGACUACUGUAAAUCUGAAGUGGCGUGUACAAGCAACGGAGAAGUUUUCCUCUUCCACGACAUGACAAAAUUCUCCCAACUCUUCGACUUUAUUGUUCUUCGUUAUGUGUAUUUGGGAUCAAUGAUAUGUAUUUGUUGAGAAAUAACUAUUUGCAACUCUUCCAUCCUUUAGGGCAUAUUCAAUAGAUUGUAUGUUAGUCUUGUUGGUAAAAUGUCCAUGUCAUCAACCAACAAGCUAUCAUACAACUACUCCAAUGGGUUGUAUCUAAGGUAUCCAAUAGAUGAUGAGAAAAUAAAUGUGAUUGCUCUCUAUUUCAUCUUGGAGCUUGUGCAAAGAUUGUUGGUUAUUCUACAUACAACUUUGCUCUCUCUCCACAUUUAUUACAUGCCACAUCAUCAAUAUGUCCUAGGUGGCAAAUUUACCAACACCUAUCUUACAGCUGUUGGAGAUGCCCUUAUCUGCUUGCAUAUCUUAUCUGCUUGCAUAUCUGUGUCUCGGGUUGUGUUUGUAGAGUGGGUCAUUCAACCUAUGGACACAAAUGUUGUUUUUCUCUGUAAGAGGAAGAAAGAUCAAUAA
rnacentral:rRNA from 1 species